rnacentral:rRNA from 1 species
CCUACGGGAGGCAGCAGUGAGGAAUAUUGGUCAAUGGACGAGAGUCUGAACCAGCCAAGUAGCGUGAAGGAUGACUGCCCUAUGGGUGGUAAACUUCUUUUAUAAAGGAAUAAAACGAGGCACGUGUGCCUUUUUGCAGGUACUUUAUGAAUAAGGAUCGGCUAACUCCGUGCCAGCAGCCGCGGUAAUACGGAGGAUCCGAGCGUUAUCCGGAUUUAUUGGGUUUAAAGGGAGCGGAGGUGGGAUGUUAAGUCAGUUGUGAAAGUUUGCGGCUCAACCGUAAAAGUGCAAUUGAUACUGGCAGUCUUGAGUACAGUGGAGGUAGGCGGAACUCGUAGUGUAGCGGUGAAAUGCUUAGAUAUAACGAAGAACCCCGAUUGCGAAGGCAGCUUACUAAACUGUGACUGACAUUGAUGCUCGAAAGUGUGGGUAUCAAACAGGAGUAGAUACCCUUGUAGUC